rnacentral:snRNA from 1 species
AGCUUUGCGCAGUGGCAGUGUCGUAGCCAAUGAGGUUUAUCCGAGGCGCGAUUAUUGUUAAUUGAAAACUUUUCCCAAUACCCCGCCAUGACGACUUGAAAUAUAGUCGGUGUUGGCAAUUUUUGGUAGUCUUUGCGGAGA